rnacentral:rRNA from 1 species
UACGUAGGGGGCAAGCGUUGUCCGGAUUUAUUGGGCGUAAAGCGCGUGUAGGCGGCCUGCUAAGUCUGAUGUGAAAGCCCGAGGCUCACCCUCGGAAGUGCAUUGGAAACUGGCAGACUGGAGUCCCGGAGAGGAGGGUGGAAUUCCUGGUGUAGCGGUGAAAUGCGUAGAUAUCAGGAGGAACACCGGUGGCGAAGGCGGCCCUCUGGACGGUGACUGACGCUGAGACGCGAAAGCGUGGGGAGCAAACAGG